GAAACACAAAGUGGAGCAGGAUGGUUGAAGUCCUGAUGGGAUUAUAAACCAAAAGCAUGAACUUCCUUUAAACCAGUAGAUACCUAAUGAUCAAUCCCAGCUGUCUUCCAAACAGAAAGUAGAGGAGAGUGGUGUCCACUGAAUCUCCAAAACGCAUUCAGAAUCCACCAGCUCAACAUUAAAGACCCAAAACCAAAGAUUUCAGAAGAGUGGGGGAGAGGGGGUAAAAUCCCCAUACUAUCAGAGUUACAAUGAUGGGGACUUCAGAAGGUCCCAUAUGUCCAUGUCUAAAUAAGGAAAAGUAUGGUGAACUGGAGAGAAGGAUUUAGAGAAAAUAAUGGGUUGAAAGGUAAAGGCAACUCAGAAAAGGAAGCCCACACAAUUUUCUUGGACAACUGCCUCUCAGAAGUAUAUGAAAUCUUUCUAAAAAUAUGCAAAAGAGAAAGGCAGAAAAU